rnacentral:rRNA from 1 species
UACGGAGGGAGCUAGCGUUGUUCGGAAUUACUGGGCGUAAAGCGCGCGUAGGCGGCUUUGUAAGUUAGAGGUGAAAGCCCGGAGCUCAACUCCGGAACUGCCUUUAAAAACUGCAUCGCUUGAAUCCAGGAGAGGUGAGUGGAAUUCCGAGUGUAGAGGUGAAAUCGUAGAUAUUCGGAAGAACACCAGUGGCGAAGGCGGCUCACUGGACUGGUAUUGACGCUGAGGUGCGAAAGCGUGGGGGAGCAAACAGG